rnacentral:rRNA from 1 species
GACGAACGCUGGCGGCGUGCCUAAUACAUGCAAGUCGAGCGAAUCGAUGGGAGCUUGCUCCCUGAGAUUAGCGGCGGACGGGUGAGUAACACGUGGGUAACCUACCUAUAAGACUGGGAUAACUCCGGGAAACCGGGGCUAAUACCGGAUAAUAUUUUGAACCGCAUGGUUCAAUAGUGAAAGACGGUUUCGGCUGUCACUUAUAGAUGGACCCGCGCCGUAUUAGCUAGUUGGUAAGGUAACGGCUUACCAAGGCGACGAUACGUAGCCGACCUGAGAGGGUGAUCGGCCACACUGGAACUGAGACACGGUCCAGACUCCUACGGGAGGCAGCAGUAGGGAAUCUUCCGCAAUGGACGAAAGCCUGACGGAGCAACGCCGCGUGAGUGAUGAAGGUCUUCGGAUCGUAAAACUCUGUUGUUAGGGAAGAACAAAUUUGUUAGUAACUGAACAAGUCUUGACGGUACCUCACCAGAAAGCCACGGCUAACUACGUGCCAGCAGCCGCCGUAA